GCGCACGCUGGCGGCAGGCCUCACACCUGCAAGUCGCACGCACCUUUCGGGGUUAGUGGCGGACGGGUGAGUAACACGUGGGAACGUGCCUUUAGGUUCGGAAUAACUCAGGGAAACUUGUGCUAAUACCGAAUGUGCCCUUCGGGGGAAAGAUUUAUCGCCUUUAGAGCGGCCCGCGUCUGAUUAGCUAGUUGGUUGAGGUAAUGGCUCACCAAGGCGACGAUCAGUAGCUGGUCUGAGAGGAUGAUCAGCCACAUUGGGACUGAGACACGGCCCAAACUCCUACGGGAGGCAGCAGUGGGGAAUCUUGCGCAAUGGGCGAAAGCCUGACGCAGCCAUGCCGCGUGAAUGAUGAAGGUCUUAGGAUUGUAAAAUUCUUUCACCGGGGACGAUAAUGACGGUACCCGGAGAAGAAGCCCCGGCUAACUUCGUG
rnacentral:rRNA from 1 species